rnacentral:rRNA from 1 species
UACGUAGGGUGCAAGCGUUAAUCGGAAUUACUGGGCGUAAAGGGCUCGUAGGCGGCCAACUAAGUCAGACGUGAAAUCCCUCGGCUUAACCGGGGAACUGCGUCUGAUACUGGAUGGCUAGAGGUUGGGAGAGGGAUGCGGAAUUCCAGGUGUAGCGGUGAAAUGCGUAGAUAUCGGGAGGAACACCGGUGGCGAAGGCGGCGACCUGGGUGGAUACUGACGCUGAGGCGCGAAAGCGUGGGGAGCAAACAGG